rnacentral:rRNA from 1 species
UACGUAGGGGGCAAGCGUUGUCCGGAUUUAUUGGGCGUAAAGAGCGUGUAGGCGGUCAGGUAGGUCUGCUGUGAAAACUCGAGGCUCAACCUCGAGACGCCGGUUGAAACCAUCUGGCUAGAGUCCGGAAGAGGAGAGUGGAAUUCCCGGUGUAGCGGUGAAAUGCGCAGAUAUCGGGAAGAACACCCGUGGCGAAGGCGGCUCUCUGGGACGGUACUGACGCUGAGACGCGAAAGCGUGGGGAGCGAGCAGG